AACGAACGCUGGCGGCGGGCUUAACACAUGCAAGUCGAACGCCCCGCAAGGGGAGUGGCAGACGGGUGAGUAACGCGUGGGAACGUGCCCUUCGCUUCGGAAUAGCCCCGGGAAACUGGGAGGAAUACCGAAUACGACGUAUUGGGAAAGAUUUAUCGGCGAAGGAGCGGCCCGCGUUAGAUUAGCUAGUUGGCGGUGUAAUGGAUCACCAAGGCUACGAUCUAUAGCUGGUCUGAGAGGAUGAUCAGCCACACUGGGACUGAGACACGGCCCAGACUCCUACGGGAGGCAGCAGUGGGGAAUCUUGGACAAUGGGCGCAAGCCUGAUCCAGCCAUGCCGCGUGAGUGAAGAAGGCCUUAGGGUUGUAAAACUCUUUCGCCGGAGAAGAUAAUGACGGUAUCCGGAGAAGAAGCCCCGGCUAACUUCGUGCCAGCCGCCGCCGUAACAC
rnacentral:rRNA from 1 species